rnacentral:rRNA from 1 species
GCUUACGGCCAUACCANCCCUGAGAACGCCCGAUCUCGUCCGAUCUCGGAAGCUAAGCAGGUCGGCC